AGAGUUUGAUCCUGGCUCAGACGAACGCUGGCGGCAGGCUUAACACAUGCAAGUCGAACGCACCUUCGGGUGAGUGGCAGACGGGUGAGUAACGCGUGGGAACGUGCCCUUCAGUUCGGAAUAACCCAGGGAAACUUGGGCUAAUACCGGAUACGUGCGAGAGCAGAAAGAUUUAUCGCUGAAGGAUCGGCCCGCGUCUGAUUAGCUAGUUGGUGGGGUAAUGGCCCACCAAGGCGACGAUCAGUAGCUGGUCUGAGAGGAUGAUCAGCCACAUUGGGACUGAGACACGGCCCAAACUCCUACGGGAGGCAGCAGUGGGGAAUAUUGGACAAUGGGCGCAAGCCUGAUCCAGCCAUGCCGCGUGAGUGAUGAAGGCCUUAGGGUUGUAAAGCUCUUUCGGCGGGGACGAUAAUGACGGUACCCGCAGAAGAAGCCCCGGCUAACUUCGUGCCAGCAGCCGCGGUAAUACGAAGGGGGCUAGCGUUGUUCGGAAUCACUGGGCGUAAAGGGCGCGUAGGCGGCUUGAUAAGUCGGGGGUGAAAGCCUGUGGCUCAACCACAGAAUUGCCUUCGAUACUGUCUGGCUUGAGACCGGAAGAGGUAAGUGGAACUGCGAGUGUAGAGGUGAAAUUCGUAGAUAUUCGCAAGAACACCAGUGGCGAAGGCGGCUUACUGGUCCGGUUCUGACGCUGAGGCGCGAAAGCGUGGGGAGCAAACAGGAUUAGAUACCCUAGUAGUCC
rnacentral:rRNA from 1 species